rnacentral:rRNA from 1 species
UACGUAGGGUGCAAGCGUUGUCCGGAAUUAUUGGGCGUAAAGAGCUCGUAGGCGGUCUGUCACGUCGGAUGUGAAAAUCCAGGGCUUAACCCUGGACCUGCAUUCGAUACGGGCAGACUAGAGUUCGGUAGGGGAGCACGGAAUUCCUGGUGUAGCGGUGAAAUGCGCAGAUAUCAGGAGGAACACCGGUGGCGAAGGCGGUGCUCUGGGCCGGUACUGACGCUGAGGAGCGAAAGCGUGGGUAGCAAACAGG